UCUCAUAUUAUUCUGUAAGAGUACAGUGCCUCAUUUUCUUCAGAGUUCAGGGUUAUAACUAGACAACAGCAGAGGAAGAAAAGAAAAACAAGGGGGAAAAGGCCAUUUUUCCAGGAUCUCAGAAAUGGAGCUCAGUAUUUCUAUAACAUCUUAGAUAAAGAAUCUGAAGUCCAUCAGAUCCUCAGAGAAUUCCAAGGUGCUCUAAGAGUGAUCUAAAUUUGGGCCAUCUCAAGAAAAAGUUUGCUGACCCCUGGCCUACAAGAAAGCAAUCGUGACAUUCCUCAAUCAUUCCACACAGAUCUCCAGCAAUUUUAUUUUCAAUCUUGGCUAUAGCCCCUAGAAAUAAUUGACUUUGCUUUAAGUAAAGUGAAGCUAAAGAAAAUUUUCAAAACGUACACUGAUAUCUAAGCAGAAAGCAGGUGCCUUGGUGAGAAAGAUAAAUGUGUUGAAGCAAAUCACACCAGACAUGAAGCUAAUAGAAGCAGAGCUGAAAGAAACAGGACCUCUUCACACAACCCAGAGAACUGGGCAGCCAAUCCACUACAACCUUCUCAAAGUUCUUUGUUUGGUGCUUAAAAUUAAGGAGAGGAAAAAUAUCUCAAACCUUAAAUAAAAUGUAUUUUUUCCUACAGACUGGAUAUUAAAUCCAUUAGAAAAGCUUGGGCUUUUACGCUCUUAACAUUUCAAGCGAGGAAACUCAGGCCCACUUCAAGAUGUUUGCCAGCUCUAAAACAAUGCAACCAUUGGCUAAACUAGAACCUUAACCACUGGAUGUGUUUGGCAUCGUGCCUAUUUGGCAUGCCUCCCAGAGACCUGACAAAUCACCCCCACCCAGAGUCAAGAGUAUAGUGU